GACGAACGCUGGCGGCAGGCUUAACACAUGCAAGUCGAACGAUCUCUUCGGAGAGAGUGGCGCACGGGUGAGUAACGCGUGGGAAUGUACCGUUUGGUAGGGAAUAGCUCCGGGAAACUGGAAUUAAUACCCUAUACGCCCUGAGGGGGAAAGAUUUAUCGCCAAACGAUCAGCCCGCGUGACAUUAGCUAGUUGGUGGGGUAAAAGCCUACCAAGGCGACGAUGUCUAGCUGGUCUGAGAGGAUGAUCAGCCACACUGGGACUGAGACACGGCCCAG
rnacentral:rRNA from 1 species